UAACUGGAGAGUUUGAUCCUGGCUCAGAAUGAACGCUGGCGGCGUGCCUAACACAUGCAAGUCGAACGAGAAAGUUCCCUUCGGGGGAUGAGUACAGUGGCAGACGGGUGAGUAACACGUGGGUAAUCUGCCCGAAGGUGGGGGAUAACUCUUCGAAAGGAGAGCUAAUACCGCAUAACACCUCGAGGCCUUCGGGCCUUGAGUUCAAAGGUAGCCUCUAUUUAUAAGCUAUCGCCAUCGGAGGAGCCCGCGCCCCAUUAGUUUGUUGGUGAGGUAAAAGCUCACCAAGACUACGAUGGGUAGCCGGCCUGAGAGGGUGAUCGGCCACACUGGAACUGAGACACGGUCCAGACUCCUACGGGAGGCAGCAGUGAGGAAUCUUGCGCAAUGGGGGAAACCCUGACGCAGCGACGCCGCGUGGAGGACGAAGGCCUUCGGGUCGUAAACUCCUGUCAAGAGGGACGAAUCCCGGUCGGAUGAAUAAGCCGGUCGGUUGACGGUACCUCUGAAGGAAGCCCCGGCUAACUCCGUGCCAGCAGCCGCGGUAAUACGGAGGGGGCAAGCGUUGUUCGGAAUUAUUGGGCGUAAAGGGCGCGUAGGCUGCUGUGCAAGUCAAAGGUGAAAUCCCUCGGCUCAACCGAGGAACUGCCUCUGAUACUGCACAGCUUGAGUCCCGGAGAGGGUGGCGGAAUUCCCAGUGUAGCGGUGAAAUGCGUAGAUAUUGGGAGGAACACCAGUGGCGAAGGCGGUCACCUGGACGGGUACUGACGCUGAGGCGCGAAAGCGUGGG
rnacentral:rRNA from 1 species